AACAGGAUUAGAUACCCUGGUAGUCCAUGCUGUAAACGAUGAGUGCUAAACGUUGGGAACUUGGUUCUCAGUGUUGAAGCUAACGCAUGAAGCACUCCGCCUGGGGAGUACGACCGCAAGGUUGAAACUCAAAGGAAUUGACGGGGGCCCACACAAGCGGUGGAGCAUGUGGUUUAAUUCGAAACAACGCGCGGAACCUUACCAACUCUUGACAUCCGACUAUGGGAAUGUUCGAAAGAAUGUUUUCGAAGGUUGGACAGGUGUUGCAUGGCUGUCGUCAGCUCGUGUCGUGAGAUGUUGGGUUAAGUCCUAUAACGAGCGCAACCCCCAUUUUGAGUUGCCGUCUUGGAAACAAGAGGAUCUCUCAAAAAACUGCCAAUGAUAAGUUGGAGGAAGGUGGGGAUGACGUCAAGUCCGCAUGGCCUUUAUGGGUUGGGCUACACACGUGCUACAAUGGGAAGGACAGAACGAGGCAAUGAUGUGAGUCGGAGCGAAUCGAGAAACCUUCCCUCAGUACAGAUUGUUCUCUGCAACUCGAGAACAUGAAGACGGAAUCGCUAGUAAUCGCGAAUCAGAACGUCGCGGUGAAUCCGUUCCUGGGCCUUGUACACACCGCCCGUCACACCACGAGAAUGGAUUUGACUUGAAGUCGAUGGCGCAACCGCAAGGACCGCGUCGCCUAGAGUGAAAUUCGUGAUUGGGGUGAAGUCGUAACAAGGUAACC
rnacentral:rRNA from 1 species